rnacentral:sRNA from 1 species
AUCUGAGUGGCCCCGUCCACCUGUUCUCCCUCCUCUAGCCUUUGCACAUGCCGUUCCUUUGCCUGUUUCAUCCUUUCUCCGCUCUACUCUUCUGCAAAGACCCAGUUCAUUUUAUGAUGCCUCGCUAGGGCCUCAAAGAGACUAGGGGCAGAAAUCAGAUCUGACUCACUUCUGGGUCCCCAGCAUUGCCCUACACAGAGCCUGGUGCUAAAGUGAAGUGAAGUUACAUAAAUACACAGUGAUCUGAACUCAGGGGUAACAACAGGUCUUUGGGGUGAGAAAGGGGAGUCCAUGAAGCCAAGCGAUGUCUGCCUGACAGGGCCCGUCUCUUCCCACCCUCAGUCUUCUUGCAGAACAAAGCUCGCCGAGAGGACUUCUGUCCUCGGAAGCUGCGGCAGAUGCACCUGAUGAUUGACCAGCUCAUGGCCCACUCCCACCUGCGUUACAAGGGGACUCUGUCCAUGUUACAAUGCAAUGUCUUCCCGGGGCUUCCACCUGACUUCCUGGACUCUGAGGUCAACUUAUUCCUGGUACCCUUCAUGGACAGUGAAGCAGAGAG